rnacentral:piRNA from 1 species
UAUGUUCUAUGGAACUUGACACAGAAGGC